rnacentral:lncRNA from 1 species
AGUGAACCAAGCACGUUGCUAAGACUGGGCUAUAGUAGCUAAGAACUACAUUUAAUUAUCAAACCAAUGUCAAUUAAAAUUGAAUCCAAUAAUUCAAAAUUAAUUAUAUAGGCCAUCAAAUGAGUGCAGCCAACACACAAGCUAUAAUGCCAAUGUAGCAAGACAAGUUAAUUCUUAAAAAAAUGAAUUAAAAAUAGAAGAAUUGCCAGUUUGGGAGCACACAGAGAUGCCUGAAGGAGGACUGAAGGACAACUUCAGUAACAGAAGUGUGAGCAGAGGGAUGGACACAAGCAGGCAUGGGAGUGAGCUGGGGUCCUGUUUGCUCCCAAAUGCAUGUUAGACAGGUGUUUUACACUAAGUGGAACAGCUUUCACAGGGACACCGAGUGCUUCACAUAGCUUACAGCUUGCUGUUUGGGGUGACUCUUGAGAGGUGGCAGAUGUGAUACAUAGCUGGAGGAGUUGUAACAUUUGUUUCCCUUACCCCAGCGGCCCAGUAACCAGCUAGGAACAGCACCACUCCUAGGGAGACAAGAAACGAUAUUCAGGAGUUCUAGGGGAUGUAAGCGUAGAAUGGUGAUCCUAAAGUGACAAUCGUUGCUCUGCAACCCACACUUAAGAGAGCAAGAACUGGAACUUUACAUCACAAAUCUUCCCAGCACGCUCUCCUGGCCAAGGCCACAGCCAGGUGCCUUACCUUGGUGCCAGCAGUGGAGUGGCAUGGCCAUUAGGGUAGCAGAAGGAUUUUAAAUCUUGUGUUACCACAACAAGUGGUUUUCUUAGUGUUCGAGGGUACCAUCUUCGAGCACAGAUCCUACUAACAUGACUCUGUUCUCAGUGCCUGUACAGUUCCUUUAUAAAUACUGUGCAUAGCCCAGAUCAGCUGUGUUAAACACUGCUCCCCUUGCAUUGUGACAGAAUACACAGGUUGUGAGACCGAGACCCAAUGCUAAAACCUCUCCCCAGGGAGCUGCGCUUUGGAGAUGGUGGUAGAUAACCAUUGUGAUGCCUGCUCAUUUCCUUCAUAAUUACUUUCAGGGCCGUCAGAGCCAGCAGAAAGUGCAGUGAUUGCCAUUUAUUGACAAGAAUCAAGAGGCAUUGCUCCAUUGGGGAAUGGAGAGCUCACCUCACUGCGUUUCCUACACACUACUGCUAGCUUUAAAGACAUUGCCACAGGGAAUACCUGUUUGACACCACAGCCACUGAGGGUCCAGGUCAAAACCACUUCUGUCAAAGAACAGAAAAAAAGUUAACUCGAGUCAUACAGCUGCUAGGAGUCAGACAACUUGUUACAAGAGUUCAUACAAAUUAAAUUUAGCAUGUCAGGGAUCCUAUCUGUUCAUUACCAACACCAAUAAAAUUUUGUAUGAAUCUCUCC